rnacentral:rRNA from 1 species
AACGCAGCAAAGGGCGAUAAGUAAUGCGAAUUGCAGAAUUCAGUGAGUCAUCGAAUCUUUGAACGCAUAUUGCGCCCUUUGGCAUUCCGAAGGGCAUGCCUGUUCGAGCGUCAUUAUCAACCAUCAAGCCUGGCUUGUCGUUGGACCCCUUUUUACCGCUGAAAUAUGUGGUAGGUCCGAAAGAUAAUGACGGCGUCGUGUUUGACCCUAGAUGCAACGAGCUUUUUAUAGCACGCAUUGAAGUGGUCGGCCGACCCGGUCUUUAACCAUCAUUUUCUAAGGUUGACCUCGGAUCAGGUAGGAAUACCCGCUGAACUUAA